rnacentral:misc_RNA from 1 species
AACUUUUAACAAUGGAUCACUUGGCUCUCGCAUCGAUGAAGAACGCAGCGAAAUGCGAUAAGUAAUGUGAAUUGCAGAAUUCAGUGAAUGAUCGAAUCUUUGAACGCACCUUGCGCUCCUUGGUAUUCUGAGGAGCAUGCCUGUUUGAGUGUCAUGAAAUUCUCAACUGCUUUAACUUUUAUGGUUGAAGUGAAGUUGGACUUGGAGGAAUAAUUGCUGGCGUGAGCUUUUAGGUUGCUUGUUAGCUCCUCUUAAUUGGAUGAACUUUCCAUUUACAAAGUAACAUCAAUGUGAUAAUUAUCUACGUUGGAUGAGUUUGUACAAGGAAAGGUAUAUCUUGGAGUUCAAAUCCUUGAUGAAACAAAUGACAAAUUUGACCUCAAAUCAGGUAGGACUACCCGCUGAACUUAAGCAUAUCAAUAAGCGGAGGCU